rnacentral:rRNA from 1 species
AUUGAACGCUGGCGGCAUGCCUUACACAUGCAAGUCGAACGGCAGCGCGGGGGCAACCCUGGCGGCGAGUGGCGAACGGGUGAGUAAAAUAUCGGAACGUGCCCUAAAGUGGGGGAUAACGUAGCGAAAGGUACGCUAAUACCGCAUAAGAUCUAAGGAUGAAAGCGGGGGAUCGCAAGACCUCGUGCUUUAGGAGUGGCCGAUAACUGAUUAGAUAGUUGGUGGGGUAAAGGCUCACCAAGGCGACGAUCAGUAGCUGGUCUGAGAGGACGACCAGCCACACUGGGACUGAGACACGGCCCAGACUCCUACGGGAGGCAGCAGUGGGGAAUUUUGGACAAUGGGGGCAACCCUGAUCCAGCAAUGCCGCGUGUGUGAAGAAGGCCUUCGGGUUGUAAAGCACUUUUGUUCGGGACGAAACGGUUUGGGCUAAUACCCUGAGCUAAUGACGGUACCGGAAGAAUAAGCACCGGCUAACUACGUGCCAGCCGCCGCCGUAA